rnacentral:rRNA from 1 species
AGUUUAUUGUUAUUUUUAUAAUAAAUUUUUUCUGCCCGGUGUUAGUUAUAAACGGCCGCGGUACUUUGACCGUGCAAAGGUAGCAUAAUCACUUGUUCUUUAAUUGGGGACUAGAAUGAAGGAACGAUUUGAGACUAAAGCUGUCUCUUUUUUAAGUUAAAAUUUGCUUUUUUUGUGAAGAAGCAAAAAUAUGGGAAAAAGACAAGAAGACCCUAUUAAGCUUUAUUUUUUUUCGCUUUUUGUUUUCUUUUAAGGAUUUCUUAAAGUAACUUUAAAUAAAUUUAGUUGGGGCGACUAAAAAGGAUAAGAAUCCUCUUUUUUUUAUUUAACUUUAAGUUUAAAAAGGGUCCAAAAUUUUUUGGUUGAAAGAAUUAGUUACUAUAGGGAUAACAGCGUAAUUUUUUCAUAAAGUUCUUAUUGAAGAAAAAGUUUGCGACCUCGAUGUUGACUUAUCAUUACCUCUUAAGGUGCAGUAGCUAGAAAGGUUAGUCUGUUCGACUAUUAAAAUGAUACGUGAGUUGAGUUCAGACCGGCGUAA